GUUGGCAUCAGUGGUACCCCUCCACUUUGUUUGUGCCUGUCCUAAAGGUUUUGAGCCGGAUAAGAAUACAGUUGAAAAGGCCCGACAAGCUGGAGUUAGCAAGAUUGAGAUUACCAAUGAUCCCAAGGAAGCAGUGAAAGGCGCUGAUGUUGUGUACUCGGAUGUCUGGGCCAGCAUGGGACAAAAAGAGGAGGCUGAAUAUCGGCGUCAAGUGUUUCAAGGCUUCCAGGU
rnacentral:misc_RNA from 1 species